rnacentral:rRNA from 1 species
UACAGAGGGUGCGAGCGUUAAUCGGAAUUACUGGGCGUAAAGCGUGCGUAGACGGUUAUGUAAGUCAGAUGUGAAAGCCCCGGGCUCAACCUGGGAAUGGCAUUUGAGACUGCAUAGCUAGGAUGCGGAAGAGGGCAGUGGAAUUCCGGUGUAGCGGUGAAAUGCGUAGAUAUCGGAAGGAACAUCAGUGGCGAAAGCGACUGCCUGGCCAGCAUACGACGUUCAGGCACGGAAAAGCGUGGGGAGCAAACAGG